CAUUUGCAUAUCCACAAAAAAGAAGAUAACAGGCGAACGGCGGGGUGGAUCAGGGCAUGGUAGGCAGCAAAUUGAUCAGCGUCCCCUGCAUUACCAGCCAGUUCCUCUGAUGUGAGGUCAUAAUGAAGUCUGUCCAGACUGGUUUUGGAAUACUUGUGAGAAAAAAGACCAAUGGAUCCAGGCGCUGCUCUAUCCAGGUAUACACAGGAUGCAGGGGAACCCUCUGGCCAGUAGAGCACCCUGUACACGUGGACAGGAGAAAAUGUUAGACACAUACAUACUUGAUAUACGUGGACUGAGACCUCAAGUAAUGUUGCAGUCCUAACUUAGAUAUUUACUUAUCUCAGAAUUAGAAAAGGAGAUUAUCCAAUUGCAGCGGGACCAAAAUGCUGCAUUUGAUGUAAUUAAAGCCAGCAAAGAAGGAUCCAGCAGCUGCAAAGGAGGAUCCAGCAGCAGCACCAGCUUCUGGAUGAGAACAUAUGGAAGCUGGAGGAGAAACAAAAAUAAAAAGGUGCAGAAGCUGCUGGACCUCCAAGA